ACACGUAAGUAACCUGCCUUUAAGACGAGGAUAACAACCGGAAGGUUACUAAGACUGGAUAGGAAACAAAAAGGCAUCUUUUUGUUUUUAAAAGACCUUCUUACGAAGGUAUGCUUAAAGAGGGGCUUGCGCCACAUUAGUUAGUUGGUAGAGUAAAAGCCUACCAAGACGAUGAUGUGUAGCUGGACUGAGAGGUUGAACAGCCACAUUGGGACUGAGACACGGCCCAAACUCCUACGGGAGGCAGCAGUAGGGAAUUUUCGGCAAUGGAGGAAACUCUGACCGAGCAACGCCGCGUGAACGAUGAAGUAUUUCGGUAUGUAAAGUUCUUUUAUUGAAGAAGAAAAAGUAGUGGAAAAACUAUAUUGACGUUAUUCAAUGAAUAAGCCCCGGCUAACUAUGUGCCAGCAGCCGCGGUAAGACAUAGGGGGCGAGCGUUAUCCGGAAUUAUUGGGCGUAAAGGGUGCGUAGGCUGUUAGAUAAGUCUAUAAUUUAAUUUCAGUGCUUAACGCUGUCUUGUUAUAGAAACUGUCUUGACUAGAGUGAGAUAGAGGCAAGCGGAAUUCCAUGUGUAGCGGUAAAAUGUGUAAAUAUAUGGAGGAACACCAGAAGCGUAGGCGGCUUGCUGGGUCUUUACUGACGCUGAGGCACGAAAGCGUGGGUAGCAAACAGGAUUAGAUACCCUGGUAGUCCACGCCGUAAACGAUGAGUACUAAGUGUCGGGGUAAAACUCGGUACUGAAGUUAACACAUUAAGUACUCCGCCUGAGUAGUACGUACGCAAGUAUGAAACUUAAAGGAAUUGACGGGACUCCGCACAAGCGGUGGAUCAUGUUGUUUAAUUCGAAGAUACACGAAAAAUCUUACCAGGUCUUGACAUACUCUGCAAAGCUAUAGAAAUAUAGUGGAGGUUAUCAGGGAUACAGGUGGUGCAUGGUUGUCGUCAGUUCGUGUCGUGAGAUGUUAGGUUAAGUCCUAAAACGAACGCAACCCUUGUCGUUAAUUGCCAGCACAUAAUGGUGGGGACUUUAACGAGACUGCCAAUUAAACAUUGGAGGAAGGUGAGGAUUACGUCAAAUCAUCAUGCCCCUUAUGAUCUGGGCUACAAACGUGAUACAAUGGCUGUGACAAAGAGUAGCUGAAACGCGAGUUUUUAGCCAAUCUCAAAAAAGCAGUCUCAGUUCGGAUUGAAGUCUGUAACUCGACUUCAUGAAGUUGGAAUCGCUAGUAAUCGCGAAUCAGCAUGUCGCGGUGAAUACGUUCUCGGGGUUUGUACACACCGCCCGUCAAACCACGAAAGUUAGCAAUGCCCGAAAGCAGUAGCUUAACUUCGCAAGAAGAGGGAACUGUCUAAGGUAGGGUUGAUGAUUGGGGUUAAGUCGUAACAAGGUAUCCCUACCGGA
rnacentral:rRNA from 1 species